GGGCGCAUGGUCUAGUGGUAUGAUUCUUCUUUAGGGUGCUCGUCACAAUCUAGAAGAGGUCCUGGGUUCAAUUCCCAGUGCGCCCC
rnacentral:tRNA from 1 species